rnacentral:misc_RNA from 1 species
GAUGAAGAACGUAGCGAAUUGCGAUAAGUAAUGUGAAUUGCAGAUUUUCAGUGAAUCAUCGAAUCUUUGAACGCACCUUGCGCUCCUUGGUAUUCCGGGGGGCAUGCCUGUCCGAGCGUCAUUGCUGCCCUCAAGCACGGCUUGUGUGUUGGGCCUCCGUCCUCCUCCCGGGGGACGGGCCCGAAAGGCAGCGGCGGCACCGCGUCCGGUCCUCGAGCGUAUGGGGCUUCGUCACCCGCUCUUGUAGGCCCGGCCGGCGCUUGCCGACACAUCAAUCUUUUUUCCAGGUUGACCUCGGAUCAGGUAGGGAUACCCGCUGAACUUAAGCAUAUCAAUAAGCGGAGGA